AGAGUUAAAGAGCUCGGCAGCUGUUUGGUCACUGGCACUGGCCUCCACUGAGAGGGACAUGGGUAGGGAGGACACGUCUUUUGCAAGGAAAGACAGUAAACUGAGAUUUGGAGCCCAGGGAAAGGUAUCUAACUUAUCCUAGGAGAAAAAGAAAACGGCUAUGAAAUUCUCUAAUUUUUCCUGACUUGCUUAUAUGAGAGCCUAAGAUUUUUCAGGUUUGAAGGAAAAGAAUAAGCACUCCUAGACAAAACAACAAAGUAGUAGUGGGGGACUGGCCAAAUGUCCAGUCUGUGUGCAUUGUGGUCAAUCUUAUCCAACUAAAACAGACCAAAAUGACAGUAAGCCCAAAUCCUGCAAAUAGAGCUCCCCAUUCCUAACCCCCUAGGC
rnacentral:lncRNA from 1 species